rnacentral:lncRNA from 1 species
UCCACCUCCGAUCCUCAUUUAAUAAAUUAGCCCAAAACCCUUUCUACCCUGUGCUCCAAGACCCCUAACCACCGCCGAUAAGGCUCCGGUGAUUGACGUCACCCAACUCGGUUACUUUAUGGGGAAGGGCGUUUUGCCGGCAUCGCAGCCAAUCGUUGUGAAGACAAAGACUGCUGAGAAGAAGAUUAAGGAGGCUGGUGGCGCCGUUAUGCUUACGGCAUAGGUUUGCACUUCGAAAGUGUUAUUAUUAUUGUUUAACUUUUUGAAUGGUUACUGUUAGUAAUGGUAUUUCUAAAGUCUAGGGUUGUGUUUUGAAUAUUAUCAUGGAUAUCUUACAUUUUUGUUUUAAUUAAUCGCUACUUGAUUUAAUAUAUUUUCCGUUUUUUUAGUAUUGGAAAAUGCUUUAGACCUAUAUAGCUAUUUGGGUAACGGUUAUGUUGCUGAACUAAAUAAUCAGUUCAUUUUUAUUGUUUUAGUAUAGUAUCCUGUUGUUUGAAUGCAUAUGUUGGUAUUUUCUUUGUUGAAUAACAACAGGUGUUUUGAUUUUAUGGAAUGACAAUUGGGUGUAGCUUCAUUAAAUUGAUUUAAAGUUCAAUUUGUUAUUAUGAGUGAUUUAUUUGGAUUUAAGUAAUUGGAUUAGGUGGUCACUGCUGAAAGAUUUUUAGUUAUUCAGGUUUAGUCAUUGUCUGGUCGAUGGAAACUGGUCUGUCAAGGGUAAUGGAGUUUCAGCUUGACAAAUUAGACUUGAAUAUAGAUGUUGAGAAACAAAAUACAGUCUCAAAAUUAACAGGACUAUAUUUUUUACCCAGUUUGACAUAUAUGUUUGCUCUUACUUUGCAUGGUGUUAAAUUUGUAGAUUGAUAUUGGACUCGCAUUAGAGAUUUUAUUUUGUUUAUUAGUGAUGCAAGAGUUCUUUGGAUGGAAAGCACAAGAUAAAAAACAGUGGAUAAUAAGGCCGCAAUUAAAUGUUUGAUUUAGUAUUGCAAGUCCCCAUUUCUACUCUUAUUUGGAUUAGUAUAUUCCAUCAUGGAUUUUUAGGAUGCGUUUGCUGCCACCAGUUUAAAGUUUCCCUCUUUGGCGCUUGACUGAAGAUAUUGUAUUAAGGUCAAUGGCGGUGCUAGAUUUAGUAUUUAAAUAGUAAGCCUUCUAUUGCAAAAUGAGCCAUGAAUACGUACAUAUUGUUCAUUGUACUCGAGUAGAAAUAUUUUUGAAAGGGGAAAACUAACCUGACUUUUGACCCCUUUUUUCUUGAACAAAAAUACAGGCCAAUUCCUGUCUUUUAAUGGACUAUAUUAUGCAGAUGAGAUGCAAAUUAAUCAAUUGUUUCUGAUUAUUUCUUUAGGUUGGGCUCUUCAACCCCAAUAAAGUUUGAGACUAAAUUUUUGCUUAGCUCGUGCACUUGUUUACAGUGAAUGAAUAUUUGGUUUGGGCAGUUCUUACCAUUACUUGUAUGCACUACCUAUCUUGAUAGUGCAGUUUGCUGGAAAAUCUAACCACCACCAUAAAUGGACUUGUAUAUGUACAUGUUUCUCUGUACCCCUUGUUGAUCAAAAAUAUGAAGAGUGUGUUUGUAGUUACUUGAUUUAGCAGGUUAUGUGGGCCUGUGUGUGUGUACACAUUUUCAUGGUUUAUGUAAGGUUUACGAAAAAUUAUGAUUUGGGCCUCUGUAGCGAAAUGUUAGCAAGACCUUUGUAUUGAUGGUUCAAUUGCAUUUGGGUAAACACAUCAAUUGAAUUUAGAAAAAAAAUUGACUUCUUAUUUUGUCAAGCAGUUUUGUGGAUAUUGACAAAUGUGUCUCGUAUUGUAAGUGGGAUCUAUACAGAUUUGGGUUAGUGGAAGUGUGUAAUCCCAGAAAAUAUCUUUUAUGCAUGAGGGAUAAUUAUGACUUGUGAGUUGUGUCAAACUCGGUGAACUUUGAUAGUUAGAAUGUUACAUGCACCCUACAAUUAGAUAGAUUAUUAAG